CGGGGUGCAGCAGGCGCGAAAACUCCACAAUGUACGUAAGUAUGAUGGGGUUACCUUGAGUGCAGUCUGAAAAAGGUUGCUUUUCCAUAGAGUAAUAUCCUAUGGGAAUAAGAGGGGGGCAAGACUGGUGUCAGCCGCCGCGGUAAUACCGGCGGCUCGAGUGGCGGCCACUAUUACUGGGCUUAAAGCGCUCGUAGCUGGUCUGUUAAGUCUCUGGGGAAAUCUACUGGCUUAACCAAUAGGCGUCUCAGGGAUACUGGCAGACUAGGGACCGGGAGAGGUGAGAGGUACUCCAGGGGUAGGAGUGAAAUCCUGUAAUCCUAUGGGGACCACCAGUGGCGAAGGCGUCUGGUCAGAACGGGUCCGACGGUAAGGGACGAAAGCUAGGGGCACGAACCGGAUUAGAUACCCGGGUAGUCCUAGCCGUAAACGAUGCUCGCUAGGUGUCAGUCACGGUGCGACCGUGAUUGGUGCCGCAGGGAAGCCGUGAAGCGAGCCACCUGGGAAGUAUGGCCGCAAGGCUGAAACUUAAAGGAAUUGGCGGGGGAGCAC
rnacentral:rRNA from 1 species